rnacentral:tRNA from 1 species
GGGAGUGUAGCUUAGUGGUAGAGCACAUGCUUUUAGCAUGAAUGAGAAAAUGGAUUUCAUUCCCU